rnacentral:rRNA from 1 species
ACGGGAGGCAGCAGUGAGGAAUAUUGGUCAAUGGGCGCAAGCCUGAACCAGCCAUGCCGCGUGAAGGAAUAAGGCCCUAUGGGUCGUAAACUUCUUUUGACGGGGAGCAAUAAGGUCUACGUGUAGGCCGAUGAGAGUACUCGUCGAAUAAGCAUCGGCUAACUCCGUGCCAGCAGCCGCGGUAAUACGGAGGAUGCAAGCGUUAUCCGGAUUUAUUGGGUUUAAAGGGUGCGUAGGCUGUUCUUCAAGUCAGAGGUGAAAUACCCGGGCUCAACCCGGGAACUGCCUUUGAUACUGGAGGGCUGGAAUACUGUUGCCGUGGGAGGAAUGAGUAGUGUAGCGGUGAAAUGCAUAGAUAUUACUCAGAACACCGAUUGCGAAGGCAUCUCACGAAACAGCGAUUGACGCUGAGGCACGAAAGCGUGGGGAUCAAACAGGAUUAGAUACCCUGGUA